AGAAUCAACGCUGGCGGCGUGCCUAACACAUGCAAGUCGCACGAGAAAGCGGACUUCGGUCUGUGAGUAAAGUGGCGCACGGGUGAGUAACACGUGAAUGAUCUACCUCCGAGUGGGGAAUAACUGAGAGAAAUCUUAGCUAAUACCGCAUAACACUUAUGAGUCAAAGCAGCAAUGCGCUUGGAGAGGAGUUCGCGGCAGAUUAGUUAGUUGGCGGGUAAUGGCCCACCAAGACAAUGAUCUGUA
rnacentral:rRNA from 1 species